rnacentral:SRP_RNA from 1 species
AUGGGGUAUGGUGAAACACACCAGUGAUCUCUGCUAUAGUAAAGGUUAAGGCUGGUGGAUAUCUUGAGUUCGGGCCUUCAGAGCUACAAGCCUUGGCUAUGAUGAUUGGGUGUCUGCUCCAAGUUCAGCAUUAACAAUGGGAAGCCAACCGGUUGUCCAAGGAGGAGUAAACCGGCCUAAGUUAGAAAUUGUGCAGGUCAAAGCUCCUGUGAUGAUCAAUAGGUGGAUCUAGGCCCAUAAAUAGCCCCACUGUAUUUCCAGCCUGGGUAAGAUGGGAAGCCCAAGUAUUAA